rnacentral:rRNA from 1 species
ACUCAAAGGAAUUGACGGGGCCCCGCACAAGCGGCGGAGCAUGCGGAUUAAUUCGAUGCAACGCGAAGAACCUUACCUGGGUUUGACAUACACUAGAAGCAUUCAGAGAUGGGUGUGCCCUUGUGGCUGGUGUACAGGUGGUGCAUGGCUGUCGUCAGCUCGUGUCGUGAGAUGUUGGGUUAAGUCCCGCAACGAGCGCAACCCUUGUCCCAUGUUGCCAGCGGGUUAUGCCGGGGACUCAUGGGAGACUGCCGGGGUCAACUCGGAGGAAGGUGGGGAUGACGUCAAGUCAUCAUGCCCCUUAUGUCCAGGGCUUCACGCAUGCUACAAUGGCCGGUACAAAGAGUAGCGAUCCCGUGAGGGUGGGCGAAUCUCAGAAAGCCGGUCUCAGUUCGGAUUGGGGUCUGCAACUCGACCCCAUGAAGUCGGAGUCGCUAGUAAUCCCGGAUCAGCAACGCCGGGGUGAAUACGUUCCCGGGGCUUGCACACACCGCCCGU